rnacentral:rRNA from 1 species
CGGAGUUAGCCGGUGCUUAUUCAUAUGGUACCGUCAUUAUCUUCCCAUAUAAAAGGAGUUUACACACCGAAAUGCGUCAUCCUCCACGCGGCGUUGCUGCAUCAGAGUUUCCUCCAUUGUGCAAUAUUCCCCA